rnacentral:lncRNA from 1 species
CCUGGAUGAACUGGCACCUCCUACCUCCAGUGAUGUUCCUAGUGGACAACCAAAUAUAGCCACUUCUAACAAAGGUACCAGUUCAUCCUCAAGUGCCAGUGUGCUAUGAGCCCCAUGCCCUAAGGAGCUGUUCUCCGCAGAGGACCACCACAACUGCCAAGCAAUUGCCCUUUGGGAUCCAGGCCCAGGAGAUGGCUCCUUCAAACACAGAAGACAGCUUCUAGCAGGCACUGGGGGUGGAGACACAUCGUGACUGAGGUGCAGUGUUUGAGGUAUGCUUGGAGGGCGUAGUCACCUCUGCUCACAACACAGGUGUCACACCAUUCAGUCACACCAAACUCGGAAGGUGGUUUUAUACACUCAGACAUACACACGUGCAUGCACACACAGCUUCUUCCAUGACUUCUUGUCACGUGCAGUCUAUCACCAAUAUGGCCAGGGGAGCAUUCAGGUAAAUUAAUUUAAAUGAAGACUGUUACGCUGAUUAUCAAGAUCAUGUGCAAAGUCUGCCAAGGUCUGUGUUGUGCCAGGUGCU